rnacentral:rRNA from 1 species
AUGAAACUGAUACCGAUACUUCUCAUGCUUUGUAGGACGAGCCGGCAACACAACAAGAAUGUCAUUAAUUGGGAGGAUCACCAUCUUAUGUGGGUGGACAUGUGGAAUGCUCAGAGGAAUGCCCGAGUUGAAGAUGAUCACACACCUGACAAGGACGAGGGGGCAUAUUUAAGACAUUUGGAGUGGCUUCGCAAAGAGUACAGAGUUAUCCUUAAGGGUGCUUGGACUUGUGCCGAUUGUUUGGAAGUAAUGCCAAGUGAGGCUGCUGAUGGUGCAUUCAACAACUCUAUUAGGGAGACCAUUGGAGCGCACCUAGAUUAUGGCCCUCUGCAUGACCGAGUGGUAUGCCUUUUUGUCUCUUUUUUGAACAUGUGUCAUUUCUUCAUGAGUGGUGUGUCACUUAAGUUUUAUUCAGGGCACGAAGCUAUGGAGAUGUAUCAAUGA